rnacentral:lncRNA from 1 species
UCUUCCAACCUUCAGAUGGGAGGACACAUUCCUAAUGAAAAAUAAGCUACUUUUCAAGGCCUACAGAAAAAGCAGCCUCCUUGGGAUUAACAACUCUGACCGAAAAUGUAUGCACUCUUCUAACAAAAACCUCUCCAGGUGGGCCUAGGAUUGGCUACCAAGCCCUUCGUGAGCUCCAUGAAGGAAAGCACCAUCAUGACCUGCGUUAUUUGUCCUGUGUACCUCAUGGGGAAGAUGAUGCCAGGAUCUUGAGGUGUGUAGAACAAGAAGGCUUAAAUAAAGCCAAGCAGAGGUAAACAAGUUGGAAAAUGGAGAACAAGGGAAAGAACUGAUGAUACCACCUGAACUGCUGGACUCAUCUGUGUUUGAAGCCAGAAUCCUCUUGGACUUCCCAUUUGCAUGAAUCAAUAAAUUCC